rnacentral:rRNA from 1 species
GACGAACGCUGGCGGCGUGCUUAACACAUGCAAGUCGAACGGAAAGGCCCUGCUUUUGUGGGGUGCUCGAGUGGCGAACGGGUGAGUAACACGUGAGUAACCUGCCCUUGACUUUGGGAUAACUUCAGGAAACUGGGGCUAAUACCGGAUAGGAGCUCCUGCUGCAUGGUGGGGGUUGGAAAGUUUCGGCGGUUGGGGAUGGACUCGCGGCUUAUCAGCUUGUUGGUGGGGUAGUGGCUUACCAAGGCUUUGACGGGUAGCCGGCCUGAGAGGGUGACCGGCCACAUUGGGCCUGAGAUACGGCCCAGACUCCUACGGGAGGCAGCAGUGGGGAAUAUUGCACAAUGGGCGGAAGCCUGAUGCAGCAACCCCGCGUGCGGGAUGACGGCCUUCGGGUUGUAAACCGCUUUCGCCUGUGACGAAGCGUGAGUGACGGUAAUGGGUAAAGAAGCACCGGCUAACUACGUG